rnacentral:hammerhead_ribozyme from 1 species
GUACUGACGAAGAGUCCUUAACUAGGACGAAACAGCUGUCCAGUAC